ensembl:lncRNA novel transcript, antisense to KITLG
GGCUGAAGUGCAAUGACGCAAUCUCGGCUCAAUGCAGCCUCCGCCUCCCAGGUUUAAGCGAUUAUCCCGCCUCAGUCUCACAAGUAGCUGGGAUUACAGGUGCCCACCACCACGCCCAGAAGUGCAUUUUGCCUCCUGCCAUGAUUCUGAGGCCUCCCCAGCCCUGUGAAACUUCUCUCUCUCACUUUCUUUUUCUCCAUCUCUCAUUCUGGAACCCUGAGCAACUAUGUAAGAAGUCUGGCUGCCAUGAUGCCACCAUGCUGGAGGGACCACAUGGACAUACCAUGAAGAUAUAUAGAGAAAUGCUUUAGAAACCUCAGCUGUUCCGUCUUUCAGCUAUUUGAGUCUUCCUAGGCCAAGGGCCAGAUAUAUAAACAAAGAAGACUUGAUGGUGACUCCAGCCUUAGUCAACGUCUAACUGCAACCACGUGAGAGACUUUCAACCAGAACUAUGCAGUGGAGCUGCUUCUGAACUCCUGACCCAUAGAAACCAUGAAUGAUAAUAAAUGAUUGCUGUUUUCCUUAAAUGUUUGGUCGCAUUUCUCAGUGAAAUCAUCUGUGCCUAGAAUUUUCUUUCUAGAAAAGUUUCAAACUCCAAAUUCAAUUCUUAAUUGAAUUUUAUAUCUGUAUAUCUAUAGACAUAUACAAAUAUC